rnacentral:rRNA from 1 species
CUGAUGCGAUUUCGGUCAAUCAUGUAUCAUUUUAGUGGCGGACGGGUGAGUAACGCGUGGGUAACCUGCCUUACACUGGGGGAUAACACUUAGAAAUAGGUGCUAAUACCGCAUAAGCGCACGAGGCCGCAUGGUUUUGUGUGAAAAACUCCGGUGGUGUAAGAUGGACCCGCGUCUGAUUAGCUAGUUGGCGGGGUAACGGCCCACCAAGGCGACGAUCAGUAGCCGGCCUGAGAGGGUGGACGGCCACAUUGGGACUGAGACACGGCCCAAACUCCUACGGGAGGCAGCAGUGGGGGAUAUUGGACAAUGGGGGAAACCCUGAUCCAGCGACGCCGCGUGAGUGAAGAAGUAUUUCGGUAUGUAAAGCUCUGUCAGCAGGGAAGAAAGAAAUGACGGUACCUGACCAAGAAGCCCCGGCUAACUACGUGCCAGCAGCCGCGGUAAUACGUAGGGGGCAAGCGUUAUCCGGAAUUACUGGGUGUAAAGGGAGCGUAGACGGUAAUGUAAGUCUGGAGUGAAAGGCGGGGGCCCAACCCCCGGACUGCUCUGGAAACUAUGUUACUAGAGUGCAGGAGAGGUAAGCGGAAUUCCUAGUGUAGCGGUGAAAUGCGUAGAUAUUAGGAGGAACACCAGUGGCGAAGGCGGCUUACUGGACUGUAACUGACGUUGAGGCUCGAAAGCGUGGGGAGCAAACAGGAUUAGAUACCCUGGUAGUCCACGCCGUAAA